rnacentral:rRNA from 1 species
GCCGGCAGCUAGCUCUCUGCAACUCUCACAUGGUCGCCCACUGAAGCUAAGCAGGGCUGUGCCCAGUCAGUACCUGGAUGGGAGACCACAUAGGAAAACUGGGUUGCUGCCGGAA